UACCCCGGAAGCUCUAAGAGUGUGGUAUUGAAGGUACUAAGGUGGUGGGGUAG
rnacentral:tRNA from 2 species